AUUGAACGCUGGCGGCAGGCCUAACACAUGCAAGUCGAACGGUAACAGGAAGAAGCUUGCUUCUUUGCUGACGAGUGGCGGACGGGUGAGUAAUGUCUGGGAAACUGCCUGAUGGAGGGGGAUAACUACUGGAAACGGUAGCUAAUACCGCAUAACGUCGCAAGACCAAAGAGGGGGACCUUCGGGCCUCUUGCCAUCGGAUGUGCCCAGAUGGGAUUAGCUAGUAGGUGGGGUAACGGCUCACCUAAGCGACGAUCCCUAGCUGGUCUGAGAGGAUGACCAGCCACACUGGAACUGAGACACGGUCCAGACUCCUACGGGAGGCAGCAGUGGGGAAUAUUGCACAAUGGGCGCAAGCCUGAUGCAGCCAUGCCGCGUGUAUGAAGAAGGCCUUCGGGUUGUAAAGUACUUUCAGCGGGGAGGAAGGGAGUAAAGUUAAUACCUUUGCUCAUUGACGUUACCCGCAGAAGAAGCACCGGCUAACUCCGUG
rnacentral:rRNA from 1 species